GCCGCAGCAACUCAGUGGUAGAGUAAUUCAUUGGCAAUGAAUAAGCCGGCAGUUUGAUUCUGCUCUUUAGAACCA
rnacentral:tRNA from 1 species